rnacentral:rRNA from 1 species
AUUGAACGCUGGCGGCAGGCCUAACACAUGCAAGUCGAACGAGUGGCGGACGGGUGAGUAAUGUCUGGGAAACUGCGUGAUGGAGGGGGAUAACAACUGGAAACGGUUGCUAAUACCGCAUAGCAUCGGAUGGGCCCAGAUGGGAUUAGCUUGUUGGUGGGGUAACGGCUGACCAAGGCGACGAUCCCUAGCUGGUCUGAGAGGAUGACCAGCCACACUGGAACUGAGACACGGUCCAGACUCCUACGGGAGGCAGCAGUGGGGAAUAUUGCACAAUGGGCGCAAGCCUGAUGCAGCCAUGCCGCGUGUAUGAAGAAGGCCUUCGGGUUGUAAAGUACUUUCAGCGGGGAGGCGUUACCCGCAGAAGAAGCACCGGCUAACUCCGUGCCAGCCGCCGCGGUAAUUC